rnacentral:rRNA from 1 species
AUACGUAGGGCGCAAGCGUUAAUCGGAAUUACUGGGCGUAAAGCGUGCGCAGGCGGUUUUGUAAGACAGUGGUGAAAGCCCCGGGCUACACCCGGGAACUGUCAUUGGGACCGACAGACUGGAGGGCGGCACAGGGGAGUGGCAUUCCGCGCGUUGAUGGGAAAUGAGUAGAUAUGCGGAGGAACACCGAUGGCGAACGCGAUCCCCUGGGCUUGCACUGACGCACAUGCACGAAAGCGUGGGGAGCAAACAGGAUUAGAUACCCUGGUAGUCCACGCCCUAAACGAUGUCAACUGGUUUUUGGGGAUUUAUUUACUCAGUAACGAAGCUAACGCUUUAAGUUGACCGCCUGGGGAGUACGGCCGCAAUGUUAAAACUCAAAUGAAUUGACGGGG